GUCGAGAAUCUUCGGCAAUGGGGGCAACCCUGACCGAGCGACGCCGCGUGGUGGAUGAAGGCCUUCGGGUUGUAAACACCUGUUGGGGGGGAACAAUUUUGAGUGAACCCCUGAGGAAGCACGGGCUAAGUUCGUGCCAGCAGCCGCGGUAAGACGAACCGUGCAAACGUUACUCGGAAUCACUGGGCUUAAAGCGUACGUAGGCGGCGUCAUUAGUCAGAGGUGAAAUCCCAUCGGCUCAACCGUGGAAUUGCCUCUGAUACUGUGAUGCUUGAGGGGGAACGGGGCAUUCGGAACUUCCGGUGGAGCGGUGAAAUGUGUUGAUAUCGGAAGGAACGCCGGUGGCGAAAGCGGAAUGCUGGGUCUCUUCUGACGCUGAGGUACGAAAGCUAGGGUAGCGAACGGGAUUAGAAACCCGAGUAGUCC
rnacentral:rRNA from 1 species